GUGCUUGCUUCAGCAGCAUGUAUAGUACAUUUGAAAAGAUACAGAGAAGAUUAUCAUGGCCCCUGCACAAGUAUGGCAUGCAUAAAUUCUCACUUUAAUAGAUUCAC